AUGCAGUCUGGUGUAUGGUUAGUGCAUUUUAUGGUUUGGUUAUAGAGGGGGUUGGUAAUCGUCUGCAUU
rnacentral:tRNA from 1 species